CUACGGGUUGCAGCAGUGAGGAAUAUUGCACAAUGGGGGGAACCCUGAUGCAGCAACGCCGCGUGGAGGAUGACGCAUUUCGGUGUGUAAACUCCUUUUAUAUGUCAAGAAAAUGACGGUAGCAUAUGAAUAAGCACCGGCUAACUCCGUGCCAGCAGCCGCGGUAAUACGGAGGGUGCAAGCGUUACUCGGAAUCACUGGGCGUAAAGGACGCGUAGGCGGAUUGGAAAGUCAGGUGUGAAAUCCUACAGCUUAACUGUAGAACUGCACUUGAAACUACGAGCCUAGAGUAUGGGAGGGGCAGAUGGAAUUAGUGGUGUAGGGGUAAAAUCCGUAGAUAUCACUAGGAAUACCUAAAGCGAAGGCGAUCUGCUGGAACAUAACUGACGCUAAGGCGUGAAAGCGUGGGGAGCAAACAGGAUUAGAUACCCGCGUAGUC
rnacentral:rRNA from 1 species